UCAUCCCUUCCUUGACUUUUCAAAGUAACUAGAAUUCCAAGAAGCUCUCUCUCCCUCUCUAUUCCCACGGGUCCAAGAAAAAUCUGAAAUUCUCACUUCACUUUUCUCUCUUUUCUCUUAAGGAAAGAGCUAGGAAGCUCUCUUGAGUCUUCUCUCAAGUCCACGGGUCCACACACCAAAAGAAAGUUGAAGCUCUAUCUCAUUUCUCUUCAUAUUCUCUCAAAGAAACUAGAAAACUCAAAGAAAACUCUCUCAAGCUCUCUACCUCUCACACUUUCGGGUCUAGCCACUAGGAAAGGGAAAUCCUUUCAUGCAAGAGUGAUUCUAUUCCUAUUUUCCCCUUAAGAACCUGAAACUUGGUGUUACCAGUACCCAAGUCUAAGCUUCUUCGACUGUAGGCUUUCAGCUCCUCUGCUUUCAGACAUUCUCUCUCAUCUCUCAAAUGUUCUCUUUCAUCUCUCAGCUCUCUACUUCCAUGGCUGGACCUCGUCAUGGCUGAAGCUCACAUGACCACUACAAAGGCAGCUUCUUCUUUGUCUGGAUUUGAUGAUUUGUAUGGAGGAGAUAGAGAUGGAAGAGAGUCAGGGGGAUCGAAGAGAGAGAGAAUUGAUGGAGAAGAGAGAGAAGGGAGAGAAAAAACUAUUAAAAAAAGAAUAUUCAAAGCUAUAGUAACCCAUGUAUAUAUAUAUAUAUAUAUAUAUAUAUAUAUAUACGGUUAUUGUAGCAAGUUUGGAUAUUUACAAACCUUUACAAGCUCUAAUGAUUACUUUUGUAAUACAUGUUCGAGAGAGCGAGGAAGAGACCUGCGUGGCUAUGUGUGGAGGUAACUAGGUAAGAAGUGAAAAAGAAAAGAGAAAAGAAUAUAAGGAAGAAGUGAACAAGUGGAUGAGAAAAAGGAGAAGAGAGAAGGAAAAAGAAAAAGUUUUCGGGGUUUAGGAUUUAUGUAAUGUGGAAGACUUGCAUCUAGGUAAAAAUAUAUAUAUAUAUAUAUAUAUAUAUAUAUGGAAGACCUGCACUGAUGUAAAUAGAAUUUUAAAGAUUAUGUAGGGGGCGGUUUCUUAAAUCUAAGCCCAACUUGCUAAGAUUUGGCAAGGAUAGAGGCCCAAUACAACUAAUUUGUAGACAUGGGGAGUUAAGGCCAACACAUUGUGUCCUUGCAACUACGACUUGAUAACUAAAGGAAUGGGAUUAGCUAAAAUGAUAAUACUUGAUAGAAACUUAGUAGGAAAAGAAAGAUUAUUAUUUAUUUCAUUCCUCGGGCUAGCCGAGGAUCACUUGUUCUUAAGAAAUACAAUUCUUUUUCUCUCUUUA